rnacentral:rRNA from 1 species
CCUACGGGGCGCAGCAUUGGGGAAUAUUGGACAAUGGGCGGAAGCCUGAUCCAGCAAUGCCGCGUGUGUGGAGAAGGUCUUCGGAUUGUAGAGCACUUUCGACGGGGACGAUGAUGACGGUACCCGUAGAAGAAGCCCCGGCUAACUUCGUGCCAGCAGCCGCGGUAAUACGAAGGGGGCUAGCGUUGCUCGGAAUGACUGGGCGUAAAGGGCGCGUAGGCGGUUUAUGCAGUCAGAUGUGAAAUCCCCGGGCUUAACCUGGGAACUGCAUUUGAGACGCAUAGACUAGAGGUCGAGAGAGGGUUGUGAAAUUCCCAGUGUAGAGGUGAAAUUCGUAGAUAUUGGGAAGAACACCGGUGGCGAAGGCGGCAACCUGGCUCGAUACUGACGCUGAGGCGCGAAAGCGUGGGGAGCAAACAGGAUUAGAUACCCCAGUAGUC